rnacentral:rRNA from 1 species
GAUGAACGCUGGCGGCGUGCCUAAUACAUGCAAGUCGAGCGAACGGACGAGAAGCUUGCUUCUCUGAUGUUAGCGGCGGACGGGUGAGUAACACGUGGAUAACCUACCUAUAAGACUGGGAUAACUUCGGGAAACCGGAGCUAAUACCGGAUAAUAUUUUGAACCGCAUGGUUCAAAAGUGAAAGACGGUCUUGCUGUCACUUAUAGAUGGAUCCGCGCUGCAUUAGCUAGUUGGUAAGGUAACGGCUUACCAAGGCAACGAUGCAUAGCCGACCUGAGAGGGUGAUCGGCCACACUGGAACUGAGACACGGUCCAGACUCCUACGGGAGGCAGCAGUAGGGAAUCUUCCGCAAUGGGCGAAAGCCUGACGGAGCAACGCCGCGUGAGUGAUGAAGGUCUUCGGAUUGUAAAACUCUGUUAUCAGGGAAGAACAUAUGUGUAAGUAACUGUGCACAUCUUGACGGUACCUAAUCAGAAAGCCACGGCUAACUACGUGCCAGCAGCCGCGGUAAUACGUAGGUGGCAAGCGUUAUCCGGAAUUAUUGGGCGUAAAGCGCGCGUAGGCGGUUUUUUAAGUCUGAUGUGAAAGCCCACGGCUCAACCGUGGAGGGUCAUUGGAAACUGGAAAACUUGAGUGCAGAAGAGGAAAGUGGAAUUCCAUGUGUAGCGGUGAAAUGCGCAGAGAUAUGGAGGAACACCAGUGGCGAAGGCGACUUUCUGGUCUGUAACUGACGCUGAUGUGCGAAAGCGUGGGGAUCAAACAGGAUUAGAUACCCUGGUAGUCCACGCCGUAAACGAUGAGUGCUAAGUGUUAGGGGGUUUCCGCCCCUUAGUGCUGCAGCUAACGCAUUAAGCACUCCGCCUGGGGAGUACGACCGCAAGGUUGAAACUCAAAGGAAUUGACGGGGACCCGCACAAGCGGUGGAGCAUGUGGUUUAAUUCGAAGCAACGCGAAGAACCUUACCAAAUCUUGACAUCCUUUGACAACUCUAGAGAUAGAGCUUUCCCCUUCGGGGGACAAAGUGACAGGUGGUGCAUGGUUGUCGUCAGCUCGUGUCGUGAGAUGUUGGGUUAAGUCCCGCAACGAGCGCAACCCUUAAGCUUAGUUGCCAUCAUUAAGUUGGGCACUCUAAGUUGACUGCCGGUGACAAACCGGAGGAAGGUGGGGAUGACGUCAAAUCAUCAUGCCCCUUAUGAUUUGGGCUACACACGUGCUACAAUGGACAAUACAAAGGGCAGCGAAACCGUGAGGUCAGGCAAAUCCCAUAAAGUUGUUCUCAGUUCGGAUUGUAGUCUGCAACUCGACUACAUGAAGCUGGAAUCGCUAGUAAUCGUAGAUCAGCAUGCUACGGUGAAUACGUUCCCGGGUCU